UACGUAGGGGGCUAGCGUUGUCCGGAAUCAUUGGGCGUAAAGAGCGUGUAGGCGGUCCGGUAAGUCCGCUGUGAAAGUCGGGGGCUCAACCCUCGAAUGCCGGUGGAUACUGUCGGGCUAGAGUGCGGAAGAGGCGAGUGGAAUUCCUGGUGUAGCGGUGAAAUGCGCAGAUAUCAGGAGGAACACCUAUUGCGAAGGCAGCUCGCUGGGACGUAACUGACGCUGGAGACGCGAAAGCGUGGGGAGCAAACAGG
rnacentral:rRNA from 1 species